GCAGUGGUGUUUCAGUGGUAGAAUUCUCACCUUCCAUGUAGGAGACCCAGGUUUAAUUCCCAGCCAAUGCA
rnacentral:tRNA from 1 species